UACGUAGGGGCAAGCGUUGUCCGGAAUCAUUGGGCGUAAAGCGCGUGUAGGCGGCUAGAUAAGUCUGCUCUGAAAGCCCGGGGCUCAACCCCGGGAGGCGGGUGGAUACUGUCUAGCUCGAGUCCGGAAGAGGAGUGUGGAAUUCCUGGUGUAGCGGUGAAAUGCGCAGAUAUCGAGGAGAACACCAAUUGCGAAGGCAGCUCGCUGGGACGUUACUGACGCUGGAGACGCGAAAGCGUGGGGAGCAAACAGG
rnacentral:rRNA from 1 species